rnacentral:rRNA from 1 species
UGGAUCCAGACUUUGAUUCUGGCUCAGGAUGAACGCUAGCUACAGGCUUAACACAUGCAAGUCGAGGGGAAACGAUAUUGGAAGCUUGCUUCCGAUAGGCGUCGACCGGCGCACGGGUGAGUAACGCGUAUCCAACCUGCCCAUCACUUGGGGAUAACCUUGCGAAAGUAAGACUAAUACCCAAUGACGUCUCUAGAAGACAUCUGAAGGAGAUUAAAGAUUUAUCGGUGAUGGAUGGGGAUGCGUCUGAUUAGCUUGUUGGCGGGGUAACGGCCCACCAAGGCGACGAUCAGUAGGGGUUCUGAGAGGAAGGUCCCCCACAUUGGAACUGAGACACGGUCCAAACUCCUACGGGAGGCAGCAGUGAGGAAUAUUGGUCAAUGGACGAGAGUCUGAACCAGCCAAGUAGCGUGCAGGAUGACGGCCCUAUGGGUUGUAAACUGCUUUUAUAAGGGAAUAAAGUGAGCUACGUGUAGCUUUUUGCAUGUACCUUAUGAAUAAGGACCGGCUAAUUCCGUGCCAGCAGCCGCGGUAAUACGGAAGGUCCGGGCGUUAUCCGGAUUUAUUGGGUUUAAAGGGAGCGUAGGCCGGAGAUUAAGCGUGUUGUGAAAUGUAGAUGCUCAACAUCUGCACUGCAGCGCGAACUGGUUUCCUUGAGUACGCACAAAGUGGGCGGAAUCCGUGGUGUAGCGGUGAAAUGCUUAGAUAUCACGAAGAACUCCGAUUGCGAAGGCAGCUCACUGGAGCGCAACUGACGCUGAAGCUCGAAAGUGCGGGUAUCGAACAGGAUUAGAUACCCUGGUAGUCCGCACGGUAAACGAUGGAUGCCCGCUGUUGGUCUGAAUAGGUCAGCGGCCAAGCGAAAGCAUUAAGCAUCCCACCUGGGGAGUACGCCGGCAACGGUGCAACUCAAAGGAAUUGACGGA